UUACCCCCCCUCUCACCUAACCCUAACAAACUACCAGUGCACCCGCCACCCCCUCUCCCUCUCUACUAACCCUAACAACUUCACAAGAGCCUACCCCAUAACCUAGUACUAGAGGCUCUCCCUCUUGCCUCUCCAAAAUAUUUUAGCCUAUCGAACAAGUUCUUGAGAGAAUUUUCAGGCAAGUUCUUUCAUUCAGUACAAGUACAUCAUAGAAGCAUCAAUGGAGGUCAACGAGAGCUUUUCAAAUGACAUGGAUGAUGGAUAUGAGAAACUCUUUAGGAGAUUGAAUCCACCCAGAGUUGUGAUUGAUAAUGAAGAUUGCAACUUGCAAAAAUGCUACU